rnacentral:rRNA from 1 species
GAUCAUGGCUCAGGAUGAACGCUAGCUACAGGCUUAACACACGCAAGUCGAGGGGCAUCACGAUGUAGCAAUACAUUGGUGGCGACCGGCGAAUGGGUGAGUAACACGUAUCCAACCUACCAUUAACUAGGGCAUAAUCCGUAGAAAUGCGGUCUAAUUCCCUAUAUAGUUUUUAGAUGACAUCAUAUGAGGACGAAAGAUUAAUUGGUUAAUGAUGGGGAUGCGUCUGAUUAGGUAGUUGGCGGGUUAACAGCCCACCAAGCCGACGAUCAGUAGGGUUCUGAGAGGAAGGUCCCCCACAUUGGAACUGAGACACGGUCCAAACUCCUACGGGAGGCAGCAGUGAGGAAUAUUGGUCAAUGGGCGAGAGCCUGAACCAGCCAAGUAGCCGUGCAGGAUGACGGCCCUAUGGGUUGUAAACUGCUUUUAUGCGGGGAUAAAGUGAGUCACGUGUGACUUAUUGUAGGUACCGCACGAAUAAGGACCGGCUAAUUCCGUGCCAGCCGCCGC